rnacentral:lncRNA from 1 species
CCAGUCGGGUUGGAGUUUAUUUCUGCCAGAGCCUGGAGGCUGGGAGGGUAAAGGACACUCCUUUAGUCCCAGAGGGAAGCUCCGAACCCUCAGAGCAACCAGAAGGGAGGGCAGAGCAUGGGCAGCAGCAGGAGUGAGAGGGGUCCCCUUGUCCUGCCCCUUUGCAAGGGUUCAAGGCUGGUGGAGGCCUGGGGCUUCUGUCGCUCAGGAGUUCAGGGGUGGACGCAGAAAUGGGGGAAGGAGAGUGGCUACGUAGAGAGUGAGAGCGAGAUUCCUAAAAAGAUGCACAGAGAGACCCUCAGAGAGAAGCAGAGGGAAUGGGUUGCACUGGCUGAGGAUGGUGGAGGAGCCGUCUCACUCCCUUCCUAAUGUCUAUAGAUCAAUAACGAGGGAAGAAAGGAGGACAGGGAGCUGAUGGAAACACAGCUUGCCAACUGUACCCAGUCCCCCAACAAGC